GGAUCAAUAUUUCGGUCAUGCCGUUGGUAUGCACUGUUAUCAUUGAUUUCUCACCUUCUAAAGAACCGUAAUGCCAUUAAUUUGGUGUUACGGGGAAUUAGGACUGUUACCUUGAAAAUUAAGAGUGUUUAAAGACAGGCUCACGCUUGAAUACAUUAGCAUGGAAUAAUGAAAUAGGACGUUUGUAUUCUAUUUUGUUUGGUUUCUUAGGAUCGACGUAAUGAUUAAUAGGGAGUAGUUGGG
rnacentral:rRNA from 1 species